GACGAACGCUGGCGGCGUGCCUAAUACAUGCAAGUUGAGCGCUGAAGGUUGGUACUUGUACCGACUGGAUGAGCAGCGAACGGGUGAGUAACGCGUGGGGAAUCUGCCUUUGAGCGGGGGACAACAUUUGGAAACGAAUGCUAAUACCGCAUAAAAACUUUAAACACAAGUUUUAAGUUUGAAAGAUGCAAUUGCAUCACUCAAAGAUGAUCCCGCGUUGUAUUAGCUAGUUGGUGAGGUAAAGGCUCACCAAGGCGAUGAUACAUAGCCGACCUGAGGGGGUGGUCGGCCAACACGGGAAUUGAGACCCGCCCAAGCCCCUUCGGGGGGCAGCAGUAGGGAAUUUUUGGCAAUGGAGGAAAGUCUGGCCGAGCAAAGCCGCGUGAGUGGGGAAGGGUUUCGGAUCGUAAAACUCUGUUGGUAGAGAAGGAAGUUGGUGAGAGUGGAAAGCUCAUCAAGUGACGGUAACUACACAGAAAGGGACGGCUAACUACGUG
rnacentral:rRNA from 1 species